GCGGUACUUAGCGCAAUGGCACGCCCCCAGAGGCGCUAGGCUCCGCCCCGAGGCCGCGUUGCGUGUGAAGCGGCGCUUUGUGCCGCGGCGCAGCUGCUCUGGAGAGAUGGGCAGGGCAUGCGCCAGGAGGCGGUGCUUGGCCUGUCGGGCACGCCCCCGGAAGGACCAGACGGCCCCGCCCCCAGGCCGGCGUUUUGCGAACCACCGCGCCGCGUGCGUCAGGAGGCUGCUCUCGGCCACGCCCCGCCCCCAGGCCGGCGGCACGCGAACGACCAUGCUUUGUAUGUACCACAGUGGAGUAGCUCAAGAAAGGUAGAGGACCUUAAGUCUGGAACCGGUGACCCACUAGGAAGAAAAGCCCCCUCGAUGGCUGGGCCCCGCCCCUAGGCCGGCGUCCAGCGAGCGACCACGCUAGGGGGAAACUUGACUAAGAAAAAGAGCUACUCACCGUGGAGAUGGCAAACAGAGAGUUAUCAAAGGACAUGUCUGAAACAGAAAACAGAGUCAGCAAAGGGUGGGGCCGCUGCCUGGCACCCACCUGCUCCUGUCCCAAGACCUCAACACCCAGAGUCCACCCUGCAGAAGACCCUCUCCUGCUCCUUUCCAGUCACCACAGGUCCUCCCACCAGAGGGCACUGUAGUGGGUGAAGGUCUGCCCAGCCAGUGAAAUGAUGACAGACUGCCCUGGAGGAUCUCACCUCUGCUUCUGUAAGUUCUUUAUUUUAGCUAGAAGAAAGACAGACACUGGUUAGAUUUUUCUGGAUCUGGUAGCUGCUGAAAAAUGUCUACACCCAUGAAACCAAAAGCUCCCUUGACCUGUAUGGACCCCAGCCUUGCCUUUUCCACAUAGAUCUGCUAUACAAAGAACUUUCUUGGUUUAUGUUUUUUGUCUUGUUUCCUAGGCAGGGUUUCACAUGCAGCCCUGGUUGUUCUAGAACUCACAACGUAGAUUAGACUGUAGUUAGAGAUCUGCCUGCUGAGUACAGGGUAAAAAAUUUACACCAGCAAUCCCAGCACUCGGGAGGCAGAGGCAGGCGGAUCUCUGUGAGUUUGAGACCAGCCUGGUCUACCCAGCGAGUUCCAGGACAUGGUCCAAAAAACAAUACAGAGAAACCCUGUCUCGAAAAACCAAAAAAAAAAAAAAAAAAAAAACACCAGCAUGCCCACCUCUUAAUUUUCUGAAACAGUCCUGUGUGGCUCAUGCUAGCCUGAACUCACUAUGUAGCCAAGGCUGGCUUUGAACUCCUGGUCCUCCUUCUACCUGCUAAAUGCUGGAAUUAUGGGUGUGCGACAUUACCCCUUGAUCUGUUUCUUUGAGACAGGGUCCACCUUGGGUUGGUCUCUAAAUCACAAUCCUCCUUCAUCAGCCUUUUGACUUCUGGUGCUACAAGUGUGUACUACCACUUCAACCUGAUACAUUUUAGGUGGUUUUUUUUUUAACCUUUAUUUACUCUAUGUCUGCAUGUUUUGGUAUGGGUGUGAGUACACACACCAUAGGGCAUAUGCAGAGGUUAGAGGAAAGGUUAGAGGUUAGAACUGUGGAGUCAGCUGUCCUACCAAGAGUCUCAAGGAUCAAAUUUAAGUAGGUAUGAUUGGCAGCAUGCAUCUUUAUCUACUGAACGAACUUUUAUUUUUUUGUGUGUUUGACUUAUGAUAAAUGUAUGUUUAUUAUAAAACAAAAACAAAGAACUUCAAGUUACCAAUGUGGUGGUUUACGGCUAUAAUCCCUGCAAACUGAAAGCAGAGGCAGGAAGAUUACCUACAUUUCUUUUUUUGUUGUUUUUGGAGGGGUUUUUUGUUGUUGUUGUUUGUUUGUUUGUUUGUUUGUUUGUUUUUUCGAGACAGGGUUUCUCUGUGGCUUUGGAGGCUGUCCUGGAACUAGCUCUGUAAACCAGGCUGGCUUCGAACUCACAGAGAUCUGCCUGCCUUUGCCUCCCGAGUGCUGGGACUAAAGGCAUGGGUCACCAACACCUGGCGGAUUACCUACUUUUCAAGGCCAACCUGAUCUGUAUGGGAGAUCGAAGGUCUCCAGACCAGUCUAGCCUGUGAAGUGAAAUCCUGUCUCUAUAAAGCAAAAUCCAAACAAAAUCUUCAAAAUUGUGCAAACAUGUAAAAUUACUCUUCUUAAAAACUAUGAAUUUCGGGCUGGAGAGAUGGCUCAGAGGUUAAGAGCACUGACUGCUCUUCCAGAGGUCCUGAGUUCAAUUCCCAGCAACCACAUGGUGGCUCACAACCAUCUACAAUUCAGUCUGGUGCCCU